GACGAACGCUGGCGGCGUGCUUAACACAUGCAAGUCGAACGGAAAGGCCCUGCUUUUGCGGCGUGCUCGUGUGGCGAACGGGUGAGUAACACGUGAGUAACCUGCCCUUGACUUUGGGAUAACUUCAGGAGACUGGGGCUAAUACCGGGUAGGAGCUCCUGCUGCAUGGUGGGGGUUGGAAAGUUUCGGCGGUGGGGGAUGGACUCGCAGCUUAUCCGCUUGUUGGUGGGGUAGUGGCUUACCAAGUCUUUGACGGGUAGCCGGCCUGAGAGGGUGACCGGCCACAUUGGGACUGAGAUACGGACCAGACGCCUACGGGAGGCAGCAGUGGGGAAUAUUGCAGAAUGGGCGGAAGCGUGAUGCAGCAACGCCGCGUGCGGGAUGACGGCCUUCGGGUUGUAAACCGCUUUCGCCUGUGACGAAGCGUGAGUGACGGUAAUGGGUAAAGAAGCACCGGCUAACUACGUG
rnacentral:rRNA from 1 species